UACAGAGGGUGCGAGCGUUAAUCGGAAUUACUGGGCGUAAAGGGCGCGUAGGCGGUUAUAUAAGUUAGAGGUGAAAUCCCCGGGCUUAACCUGGGAACGGCCUUUAAGACUGUAUGGCUAGAGUAGUGUAGAGGGGAGUGGAAUUUCCGGUGUAGCGGUGAAAUGCGUAGAUAUCGGAAAGAACACCAGUGGCGAAGGCGGCUCCCUGGACACAUACUGACGUUGAGGCGCGAAAGCGUGGGUAGCAAACAGG
rnacentral:rRNA from 1 species